CAGGCAGGCAGGCAGACAGACAGGCAGACAGGCAGACAGACAGGCAGGCAGGCAGGCAGGCAGACAGACAGACAGACAGACAGACAGACAGACAGACAGACAGACAGACAGACAGACAGACAGACAGACAGACAGACAGACAGGCAGGCAGGCAGGCAGGCAGACAGACAGGCAGACAGACAGGCAGACAGACAGACAGACAGACAGACAGACAGACAGACAGGCAGGCAGGCAGGCAGGCAGGCAGGCAGGCAGACAGGCAGGCAGACAGACAGACAGACAGACAGACAGACAGACAGACAGACAGACAGAUAUAUAGUCAAGCCUUGUGUUUUAGGUUAUUGUCCUGCUGAAAGGUGAAUUCAUCUCCCAGUGUCUGGUGGAAAGCAGACUGAACCAGGUUUUCCUCUAGGAUUCUGUCUGUGCUUAACUCCAUUCUAUUUAUUUUUUAUCCUGAAAAACUCCCCAGUCCUUACAGAUUACAAGCAUUUCAUAACAUGAUGCAGCCACCACUAUGCUUGAAAAUAUGGGGAGGGGUUACCAGUAAUGUGUUGUAUUGGAUUUGUCCCAAAAAUAACACUUUGUAUUCAGGACAAAACAUGUAUUGCUUUGUCACAUGUUUUAGAGUAUUACUUUAGUGCCUUGUGGCAAACAGAAAUACAGACUUCCUUCUUUUCACUCUGUCAUUUAGGUUAUUAUUGUGGAGUAACUACAAUGUUGUUGAUCCAUCCUCAGUUAUCUCCUAUCGCUCUUUCUCUCUUUCUUUCUUUCUGUCUCUCUCUCGGAGGACCUGAGCCCUAGGACCAUGCCUCAGGACUACCUGGCAUGAUGACUCCUUGCUGUCCCCAGUCCACCUGGUCGUGCUGCUGCUCCAGUUUCAACUGUUCUGCCUGCGGCUAUGGAACCCUGACCUGUUCACCGGACUUGCUACCUGUCCCAGACCUGCUGUUUUCAACUCUCUAGAGACAGCAGGAGCAGUAGAGAUACUCUCAAUGACCGUCUAUGAAAAGCCAACUGAUAUUUACUCCUGAGGUGCUGACCUGUUGCGCCCUCGACAACCACUGUGAUUAUCAUUACUUGACCAUGCUGGUCAUUUAUGAACAUUUGAACAACUUGGCCAUGUUUUGUUAUAAUCUCCACCCGGCACAGCCAGAAGAGGACUGGCCACCCCUCAUAACCUGGUUCCUCUCUAGGUUUAUAAUCUCCACCCGACACAGCCAGAAGAGGACUGGCCACCCCUCAUAACCUGGUUCCUCUCUAGGUUUCUUCCUAGGUUUUGGCCUUUCUAGGGAGUUUUUCCUAGCCACCGUGCUUCUACACCUGCAUUGCUUGCUGUUUGGGGGUUUUAGGCUGGGUUUCUGUACAGCACUUUGAGAUAUCAGCUGAUGUAAGAAGAGGCUUUAUAAAUAAAUUUGAUUCAAUUUGAUUAACGUAAUGUGAGCAUUGCAUUGUGAAAAGCAAGUACUUUAUAUGAACGCAUACUGCAAUGGGAUGCAUGUCUUUCUAGAUGAAACACUGAUUGGUUAAAAAGUGACUGUGUGAUAUUGAGUUCUGAAACAACAGCCUUUUUGAUGAUCUGUGGGGAGUUUUGUACUAAGAGUUGUGAAAUUGACCACAUACUUCUGAAAAUUGCACCAAAGCGAUAAAGAAAAACGGUAAUUCUCUGGCAAAGCCUCUGUAAGCACUGGUGGGUG
ensembl:lncRNA